UGAGGGGGUAAAACCUGCUUGUAAAGGCCUGAUCUUGUCCCAUGUCAGAAGCUAAGCAGGGCCCGGCCUGGUUAGUACUGUGACGGGUAGCACUGGGAAUACCAGAUGCCACCGUUG
rnacentral:rRNA from 1 species